GUAAAGGUUUCGACAGGGAUCUUGCAGCCGGUGAAGCUAUCCGCAUGCGAUGCGUCAAAUGGCAAAAAUAAAUAUAAACGCUGAAGAUAAUUUAGCAUACGCUGCCUAAUGGCAGCUGUCUUACCUUUCGAACCUGCGCGUUAGGCUAAGGCAUCGACCUUGCAGGAAACGACAUAUAGUAAGCUUUGCCUAUAUGGGCGUAUCAUGAAGCUACCAAAACUGUCAGGAUGUUCGUUUUCGGACAGCUGAGGGAAUGUCAAAUAACGGACUAUGAUAGUAGAAGAACGGGGAAUGGAUUUCUGGACACGAGUUCGACUCUCGUCUAGUCCAC
rnacentral:tmRNA from 1 species